rnacentral:lncRNA from 1 species
CAAGUUGUAUAUGCUCAAACAUCCUUGUUUAAUCUCUCACAGAAUUUGCCUGUCAAACUUAAAUCACCUUUUUCUUUGGAUGACAUCAUGGUCCACGUUCAGAUAGCUGAAAUUAAUCAAGGUAAUUCUGUUGAGUGACCUACUUUGGCAUUUUCAUCUGAUGGAGCCAGGAAAUGGGGUAGCUAAUAGACCAUUUUGGAGUAUUCUAAGAUCUUAGCAAUUCCAUAUUUAAGGAGGUUAAUAGGAUACUAAUUGGGGCCUAGGUGAAGAGUUCACAAGAAAAAUGAACUUACCUGAAUCUGAAGGCUGCUAUGGAAAAGGGCUGUUUCCUGGCAUAAGAAGUAGCCAGCCUUGGCGCAAAACAGCCACUGACAGUUCCCAGCAUAUGGUAAGAGAGAGAGCUUCCGCCUACCCCAUCAGGCUUGCCAGUUGCAAGUUGCAAGUGGAAUUGAGCUGCUCCUCCAGAGGCCAAGUGUACCUCAAUUCACUUAAAAACUGUCAAUCACAUCUCCAAGAAGUCUGACUUCUUAUGAUAUCCUUCAGCUCUAAAGAAGUCAAAUAGGACCUGGCUCUAUUGAAAUAUCCUCAGGUCUGGAAUCAGGGCAACCAGAGGUGGUGUGAAAAGUUGACUUUCUUAGUCUGGAAGACUGGAGAAGAGUUUUCUUUUUUUCAAAUGUACAGGCAAAUAUUUUUAUUGCAGUUUGUAAGAGAGCUUGAUUUCGUGGGAAUAACUGGAAUGUCAUUUUAACCUUUUAAACAAUAUAGGAAAUGCUAUUCAGAAAUUCCCUAUAAAUUGGUCUGUUUCAUUUCAGAAAAGGGUCUAGAUAUGAGAUCAUAUCACUAAAACUAUGUUUACACAACUCCAGAACAACUGAGCAAUUAAGAGUACAGGGAGGAAAUCAGAUAGUGUACCUGGGAUGUGUUAACAAGUCAAGGCAGAAAAAAGGUGGUGGUUCCUUUCUUUUUGGAUGAGUUCCAUUGAUAGUGUGUACACAUAACCUAUGCUUCUUAUUCUGACUCUCAUAAUUCCCUGCAUCUUUCUU